rnacentral:misc_RNA from 1 species
GAAAAUUGAAGAUGCUUUUGAAGUUUUGGCUGUGAAAAUUUUGGGGAUGCAUUAUUUUUUUAAUAUUUUUUAUCAAGAGUUCAAAAGACUGAACUAGCUAAUCAAUGAGGGAUUAUCAAUCAAUAUAUAGUUUGAUAGAGGUCAAUAGUCUAUAUUUUAGAUAUUGUUUGGAGAUUUACUCAAUUCAAAACUGCCAUUCAUGCAUUUAAA